rnacentral:lncRNA from 13 species
AUGAAGUAAACUAAUGUUGCUACAUGUUAUGAAUUUGCAUUUAGAUCGAGUUUCCAUAUGAUUAGCAUUAUUAGGCAAUAGAUGACAUAUCAGAGUGCUUUUCAAGAUUUGCUGAAGUAGAAAUUGUAACUAUAAAGAUGUCAUCCUCAAGACAGUAGUUAAUAUGCUAACCAACUUUACUGAAAGGCAUACAGAUGUGGAAGAAAUCUAUCUGGGGACUUUAAUUAUCACCUUGUCAAAUUCAAAUUAUUAUCUGGAGUUUACCUAAUUCUCUCAAAUAUUGGUGGGUUAGUUGCUAUGCAUAGUUUUCCCCAGCGUUAAUGAACUUACGAAGACGUCAAGAGAAACCCAGUGUUGUCACCAUGGUUGCAAAAGCCACGAUUCUGACGAAAAAGUCAACUGACUCCCCUACAAUAUUGAGAAGUAAAAGUUGAAAAUAGAAGAAACAAGGUCCGUGGAGGAGACAAAGCCGGUGCCACUAGCUGGACCUGGAGGUUGAAGAUGAAAUCCCCCACCCUAGU